AGCAUGAAUUCUUGGGCAAUCCGCCCAUGUAAGCACAAAAUGGGGAAAACCAAAGGUAUUUUCAAGGCUCGACCUUGAGAGAUCCGUCCACUAUCAAGAGAAAAAGUGAAAGGAGAGGAAAGGAAGAAAGGAAGGAAAGAGAUAAAAGAAGAAAGGAGGAAGAAAAAAAAAGAGGAAAGGAAAGGUUGGCUUAGUGAACCCGAGACAAGCAAGAACCCACAAGGAUUCAAAGGACCCAAGGCAUGCAUGUAAGUAGAUUUUAGAGUCCAUGGUGAUCAUGGAGCUAAAUGAGUAAUGGAUAAGUAACUAGCUCAGGUGUAUUGCUCAGCACAUCAAGACUUACUUCAACGUAGGUAAUGGCAUCUCUUAGCCUUCCACUCCGAGUCGCUCCACUACCUAGAGGUCAUGUUGUGUCGGAUAGUUAAGCUUAUGAUGAGUAAUAGUUUGUGGAAAUGUAUUUGUCAAAACUUGAGGUUGUGUAAUGAUUACCGCAUAUUACAUUGAACAUGUUGUGGAGUUAUCAAACUUAAUUAUUUGUAUCUAAAUGUCAUGAUUCAAAUAUUGUGCUUAUUUGGUUUAAGCGAA